UAAUUCCCCUUCGGGUCACCGGGGACCUGAAGGUGCAAAUUUCACGGCUCAGGGUUCCCUGUGGCCCUUGGGAGAGAGGACAAUCACCCUAAGUUAGAAACAGCCCGCCAGCUCAAAAGUAGGGUUCGAUUUAAACCAGGGCUUUGGCCCCAUGACCCCAACCAGGCCCCGCCCCUUCCUGGUUGUCUUAGCGACGACGGUGGCGUCCAAAGAUGGCGUCGUGGCUGCCGGAGACUCUUUUCGAAAUUGUAGGACAAGGCCCGCCGCCGAGCAAAGACUAUUACCAGUUAUUGGUCACCCGGUCCCAGGUAAUUUUUAGAUGGUGGAAGAUCUCUCUGAGGAGCGAGUAUCGAUCAACAAAACCUGGAGAAACAAAAGAAACUCAUGAAGACUUCCUAGAGAAUUCACAUCUUCAGAUUCAAAUUGCCCUAAUAUUUGGUGCAAGAAUAUUAGACCAUGUCUUGAAUUUAUGUGAAGGUAAAAUUGACUUCCUUGAACGGCUCCCAGACAACUUGCUCCUGAAUAUCAUUUCUUAUUUGGAUCUUGAAGACAUUGCCAGGCUUUCUCAAACAUCACGCAGAUUUGCAAAGCUGUGCAGGUCUGACAGUCUGUGGGAGCAGAUAGUCCAGUCGACCUGUGACCACAUCACCCCCGAUAUGCGCGCCUUGGCCAAGGAUCUGGGCUGGAGACAGAUGUUCUUCACCAACAAGCUGCAGCUCCAGCGGCACCUCCGCAGGAGGAAACAAAGACAUGAAAGCCAGAGGAGCAGUCAGCCAUAGGGACACGCGCUCCUCCCCGCCGGGCACUCCAGGCGCGGCUGCGCUUUCCUUCUGCGUCCAAACCUCUUCUGCUUCCUUUGAUUGAGAACUGAGGUUUUGCUGAUUCAAGGAGCCAUAGAGUAGUUGCACACAAACGCAGCAAGCCCACCUCUGCAGUGCCUUGUCGGAGCCACAGACCCUGCCACGGGAACUGUGGGAGGCACUCCCGGUGAACGCAGCUGCCUUCCCAAGUCUGCUGUCCGAGGUUAGUAUUCAGGGUCCCCAUCUUGUGAGCCUGGGAUGCCAGGCUCCAUCCCCUUAGUGUGGACCACCUCUGACCUGGCCCUGCAGCACUGCUGGAGAGAAGUCAAGACAUUCUCCUUGAAGGCCUUUGCAGAGUCUGACUUCCCAGGACUUCCCGUUGUCAAAUAACCCUAUGAACCCUUCUUAGAGAGGUGCCGCUUCCUCUGAGGAAUGUGGACAGUUACCACUUAUAUAAGAGGGAUUUUUUUUGGUGGAGGGGUGAUUUAUAUUUUUUUAAUUUAAUUAAAAAAUUUUAUACAGUUUUCAAAUUGUAACUUUCCACUUACAGUUAUUACAAAAUAUGGGCUAUAUUCCUCAUGUGGUCCAAUACAUCCCUGAGCCUGUCUUGCACCCGAUAGUUUGUGCCGCCCACUCCCUCCCAUGCUGCCCCUCCCCCUUCCCUCUCCCCACUGGGAUCCACUAGUUUGUUCUCUGUAUCUGUGAGUCUGCUGCUUUUUUGGUUAUAUUCACUAGUUUGUGGUAUUUUUGAGAUUCCACAUACAAGUAUAACAGCAGUUCUUAAGCACACAGGCUGUGGGUAACUGUGAAAACCCAAGUAUGGUUUGUGUUCUGUUAAGUUGGCAGAGGGGCAAAACCAGUAGUUUUAGGGGAGGAAAUUCUACCUCCCUGAGAUGAGUUAUUUAAAAAUUGUUUUCUUCCUGCACCUUCAUGGCAAUUAAGUACUUCCAGACAAUGAACUCAUGGCAGCGAAUAGUCUAAUGACUCCUUUAGGCUACAGAGCAAAGCAGCGCUCAACCUCCCAUCACCUGACCGACCCUAUCAGCGCUUCUUCCCUGCAAUUUCCAGUUUGCCGCCCGGAAAAAUAACAUCCUGCCGCCCCCAUCCCGCUCCUUCGCUCCCCCUCCCCCUGCAGUGCCCCUCCCCCGAUCCACCACACCCCUUGGACCCAAGGACCCCGGAACAGUGGGGAAGAGGUGGGCUCUGGCUGCUCUCCCUCCUCACUCCUGCUGGAACAGCUCUACAGUCAUGGCUCAGUGACAGACUCUUUUUUUCUUUUUUUUACUAAACCUGUGUUAGUAUCAAACCAGAUUUUAACCGCCAUCCACACACUCUUUAACACUCAGUCUUGUAUUUCCAGGGACAUCUGUGAAAUCAAACGCAAUCUGCUUCCUGGCCGAUGAGGAGCCCAUCAAGUUCUGUCUGGAUUUAGUCCAAGCACAGAGCAAAGAUUUAAUUGGCGAGAGACCCAGGCCUCCUUCUCUGCCUAGGAGCCAGUCAGCCAGGGCCAGGGCAGGGCAGGGCAGGGCAGGGUGGCUGGCAGGCAGGCAGGCAGAGGGCCCAUGCACCUGUGUGGCUUCUGGUGCCUUGUUUCUCCCUGAAGCUCCAGACUUCACUCCCAGCCAGGUUUUCAGCAACAGAAUAUAGGUUAAUACCAUGUGUAUACAGCAAUUGUGUGUACCCUCAACGUGGUAUGGCAACGUAACUGCACAAGUAUCGAAUUACAACCCAUUUAUAACACGGACGCAAAAUGUCAACAGCUUAAAAAUUUCAUGUAUAAUGUUUUAUCAGCGGCGCUCUGGAAGCUCACGGGUGUGCCUGAUAAUCUAGAAUCAACAUGAUCAGUAAGAACACAGAUAUGGCCAUUUGAAAACUCUUACUGUCUCUAUAAAAAGAUUAUACUAUAAAAAUAGAUACUAGCUAAAUUAUUUAAAAUGAGCUUAAUUACUAUGUUGGCUAUUUUUAGUUAGUACUUAAACGACAUAGGUUAUUAGAUUAUCUCAGUAAUUACUUGCCCUUAUAGUUUGAGUGCCUCAUUACCUGAUUAUAAUUAUUUUUGCCAAAAUAGGAACAAUAUCAGAAACCUAAAACCCUGCCAGGCACCAGCCUCCUCAGGGGUGGAUCAUGUGCCCCUCUCCCACUCAGAUCCCACGUUAGCACCCGCACGAGGAUCCACCAGGUGGAAGGCAACGAUGGUUUGCCUCUCUGCCUCUGCUGACAGCUUUCCUGGGGAUGGGUAAAUCUGCUCUGUCGAUGACACACCGUUUCCGAGAGAAAUGUCACAACAUUUUAUAGUUUUGCCUUUUCUCAUCUUUUUAGUCAAGUGUUUCUACUCCGUUUUUAUUCACUGUUGUAACUGUAAAAGUAAAAUACUGACGUUUUCUGAUGAUUUAUAUGUUUAGUGUUAUAAGAAAAAAUUAUUAACAGUAGCAAAUGUGAAUGUUUAAAUUAUAAGCUAAAAAAUAUUUUACUUAAUGUCAACUUCUAUUACUGCUUUUUUUCUUGAACAGGUUGGCAGAGUAUGUGCAUUAAACCUCUGUUAUAUGGAAUCUGCAAUGUUUUAUUUCACCAAGUAGGGCCAGGAAUUUAGGCUGAGAUUAUAUUUGGGGGAGGGGUGGGAAGCAGGGAUAGGCACAAAUCCCUGGUCACAACUUGUUACUGUUUUCCAAGCUGCUUGUGUACAAGAUGGUCAUUGGUCCUUGUUUAUUACCCAAACCAACUCCCAAGAUGCUGAAGACUAAUAUCAAACAAUCUUGCAUAAACCAUCAGUGCAGCAUAGUUUUCUGCUCUGAGCUUUAGUGUAAUGACCUCUAUCUUUAGUUUGUGCUGAGGUAUGAGACGGUGUGAGAGAGGAUCCAAGCUUUUCAACUCUAAAACAGUUGGCUUCAACUUGAAAUGGAUGUCUAGGGUUGGAUGUCAAAAUGUUAAGUAGACAAGGUACCACCAAAGAAAAUUGUGUGCCUGCAGUUAAAAAGCAUACGAUUAUGUAACAGGUUCAUUGUACAAAGUAAAAUUAAUGUCUUAGCUUUACCUGCUUAUUGUUUUGAAAUGAGAUCAUCACACUGGGGUAGCAUUCUUUGGCCUUUGCAAUGUGGAACCCUUAGGGGCGGGAGCUACAGAGGACUGACUCCCUGUUAGUCACAUUCCCUUAUAGUCCUCCAUUCAGAAAAGCUGUUUUCAGUUGGGGAGCCUGUUCUGCCUGUCCUGGAAGUCUGAGAGCCAUGGAUCAUAGUCACAGUCUGAGCUGGAAUAACCUUAGGAACAGUAAUAGUAAUAGCAGCUUGCAGUGAUCGCAUGUCUACUGAGUACCAAGAAAUAAACAGGCAGUAACCGAUUUAAUUCUUACAGCAGCCUUUGAAGGUAAAUGAUAUUAUUUCUGUCUUAGAGAUCGGGGUCUGUAAACUAUGGCAUAGGUCUAUAAAGUUUGAUUAGGCCAUGCUUUAUGACACGCAGUGAUAGAGUUCGACAGAUAGACUGCAUGUUCUGCAAAGCCUAAAUCAUCCUCAGAGAGGGCAAGUUCAUUUCCCCAGGGUUUUGUAACUAGUAAGUGGUAAAGCUGAGAUUCAAAACUAUGCCUGCUGAGUCUGUGUUCUGCUAUUUUUGUUGUUGUUCUUGGGGGAAGGUAAUAAGGCUUAUUUAUUUAUUUUUAGAGGAGAUACUGGGGAUUGAACCCAGGACCUCAUGCCUGCUAGGCAUGCGCCCUGCCACUUGAUCUAACCCUCCCCCCUGAGUCUAUGUUCUGAACCACAGAUGGCACACCACCUCCUUUCAGAGCGAAACCAUGUUUGGCCAGUGGAACUUGAAAAUGUGAUGGCGCUUGCCCGUGGUAACAUUUGAAUUAUAAGGGGGGAGACUUGAGCAUAAGACCAUACUAAUUUAGUUGUGCAGAGAAUAUACCACGCUUUUGAUGAAUUAAAUUAUCAGCCCGUUUUUCUAUAAACAAGUAUCAUAAAUUUACUUAAAUACUAAGGAGUAAGUUCUUCAAGGCCCUCACACACUCUUAGGGAAAACCAGGUAAAGCAUUGAGUAAAGGAAUGAAACAUGGCUCACUGGUCCUUUUCCAGACUCAGUCCUCUCUCUUCCUGACACUUUCCUCCUCUGGGGACCAGUCCCUCCCAAUGAACUUAAACUCUUUUCACUUCACCUGACAAUGGAAGAGGCUCCCCAGUGCCAAUUUGAGACCCUCAGCCUGACCCUUUUUGCUUUUCACUGUUAGAGGUCCACGCAGUCCAUCUGUAGCAUCUUUCAACACUGCCAGGGAUCUGCGCUCUGCCCUGACUCAGUUUCCCCUUUGGAGAUGAUGAUGCAGCUGCUCCUCAGUCUUUGCAAUUCACCAUCAGCAUUCUCUCCCCCACCCCUGUUCUCCCAACAUCUUGGCUCUGUCGACCCCCAGUCCACAUAAGCCACACUCCAUUCAUUGUUAUAUUUAAGGAUGUAUCAUUAGCUUUCAAAAAGGGAGAUGAGAAAUCUCACUUUCUUAGCUCACAGCUGCACCAUCUAAGCCUAAA